rnacentral:lncRNA from 1 species
AAAACGAAUGUGAUUUGAACAUCCAUAGGAAGAUCAAAUUCCUAGCUUACAUUUGCAUGAUGAGUUCAACAAGUAUUUGUUAUUAGAGAACAAGUAACACAGUUAGUGUAGUGGUGUAGGGAAGCAAACGAAUGUAACACCAAUUGAAAGUCCUUCAACAAGUAGAGAUGCACACAUGUUUCAAUCAUUUGAGAUACCCUUUUGUAGAAGUAUUUGGAAGAUAACUAUUAAUAAUUUCAUUUGUAAAGAUACGAUUUGUAAAAAAGUAUAUACAAAGUGGUUUUGCUGGUAUUAAAUAAAUAAAUAAAAAUAC